AACCUUAUGGACCUGCGGGCGUAUACCUGCGGAAGGAUCAUUACCGAGUUUACAACUCCCAAACCCCUGUGAACAUACCUAUACGUUGCCUCGGCGGAUCAGCCCGCGCCCCGUAAAAAGGGACGGCCCGCCCGAGGACCCCUAAACUCUGUUUUUAGUGGAACUUCUGAGUAAAACAAACAAAUAAAUCAAAACUUUCAACAACGGAUCU
rnacentral:misc_RNA from 1 species